CUUAUACGCACACCUCUCUCUUAUCUUACACGCAGACAUCUUUCUCUCUCUCUCUCUCUCUCAGCGACGAAGAAAACGGAGGAGAUAACUCUACGAAGAAGCUUCGUCUCUCGAAAGAUCAAUCAGCUGUUCAGAGCGAUUUUGAAGCGAUUUCGAAAUUCAGAUUGAUAUCAAUCGGCUGUUCAGAGCUUUUUCGAAGAUUCAGAUCGAUUUCGAGAUUCAGAGCGAUUUCGAUGCUCCGUCGCCACCGUCAUCUGCACUGGCGAGGUAGCGAGCUCCACCGUCUCUCUCUCUUUCUCUCUAGAUCUCAUACUGAUUGAUCCAGAUGAGGUUAGGGCCCGUGCCAAACAGGUUGUGCAAGAUAAGCGUUGUCUGAAGGAUUGGAAGACUGAAAGAUACAAAGAAAUUAUCAGAUCUGGGACUGUAAGUACAAAUUUUUGUAUUCUUCAUUUAUGAUUACUUGUUAGUUCAUCUAUGUGGGUGAUUAUUCUGGAUGAGUGAUUGUGAAGAAAAUGGAUUUGAGUUGAUGGGCAGGUGGAGCCCAGACCUGGAGUAUUGAGAUUGAUGGAUGAGGCCAAGGAUGCUGUAAGAUGAACAUUUUACCUUAUAAAUGCAAUUAUCACUUUAUCACGGUUCUUAAGUUUUUUGUUGAAUUUGCAUCUGUUAUCCACAUUUAAUUAGGUUAUAAGACUACUUAUUCUUUCCAAAGUUGUCAAAUUCCAUGUCCUUUUUCAUACAUGAAGAACCCUGCUUGUCUAUGCUUCCCUCUGUUAUCAUAUUUACCUUUCGGCUGAUGGUUAUAGGGUAAAAAAUUAGCAGUCUGCUCUGUUGCAACUAAAAGUUCUAUUGUGCUCUGCCUUGAGAACCUUAUUGGAAUUGUAAGUCCUUCUCAGGAAUUUUUUAUUUUUUUUUUAAUUAUAUGAGAUAGGGUAACCUAUUUAAUGUUGUCUUCAUGUUUUAGGAGCACUUCAAAAAUCUUGAUUGCUUCCUUGGAAGUUGAAUCAAUUGAGUUGGCCAAUCUGUAUUUUUCAGAAUGCUCUAGUCAAUUUGUAGGGUUAUGCAAGUAGUUGAUCUCUUUUCAUCCAUCAGUGUCCUUUUGAUUUCUAAUUAUUCUUUACUUGUUAUUUGAGAUUUUGUCACUUAUAAUUCAGAUCUCCUUAUGCUCAUAAUUUAUUAUCAUUCUUGAUUAAGCUUUCAUUUCCAUAUAUAUUAAACAUAAAUUUGCAUUUAUCUAAAAAUUCAUUUCACAUGCAAAUUAGGAUAGAAUUUGGAUCUUUGAGUUCCAUUCUAAUGACAAGGACACAUGCUAUGCCCUUUACAAAUGAACAUGCUUGACAAAUCUCUGAUGUUCUUCGUUAGGCACAUGCAAAAGAAGGAAAACAUAUCAUAUGUGAACCAUAGUUUAUUAUAUAGUUCAGAUUUACUAACCACAAAAUAUAUUUUGAACCAUAGUUUAUUAUAUAUAAAUAUAUAGUUUAUUUUUUGCCAAGCAAUAGAAAAAUCUCUAAUCCCUUGAUCCCAUGUUUUGAACCAUCACCCAUUAUCAACUGAGGUCUUUUCUUUUUAGUCCAUCCCCGGGCCACGAAACUGAUAGAUCACUGGUAAUGUUGCAGCUAGGUUGAAGGCACGUAUUUUAAGCCGGAUCUGGAAUGAGACAUGGUUGGCAAGCCUUUUCUACAAACCUUGCAACUGAGUUUUUUGUCAAGCAAUCCCCAACAAACCAUUCUCCCCUGUUGGCGACAAUGUGGGUCUUCUUCUACGCGGCUUAAAAUGGGAAGAUAUUCAGCGAGGACAGGUGAUUGCCAAGCCUGGGUCAGUGAAAACUUACAAGAGGUUUGAGGCAGAAAUAUAUGUCCUCACAAAGGAUGAAGGUGGUCGCCAUACUGCCUUUUUCUCAAACUAUAGGCCUCAGUUUUACAUGAGGACUGCAGAUAUC